rnacentral:sRNA from 1 species
GAUAACACCACUGUGAACUGUUCCAAGCAGGUGGGGUACUGGCCUCGCGCCGGUUUAAAUGCGCUCUGCUGCGCAGCCCCACUUGUGCAACCCCUUUGUGUAUUUUUACGCACUUGUUUACUCAUGUAUUGAUCGAGUCAAAUCGGUCAACUUGACAAAACGUGACAACUUCUAACGGUGGAUCUCUUGGCUCGUGCAUCGAUGAAGAACGUACCAGUUGCGAUAAGUAGUGUGAAUUGCAGAAUUCAGUGAAUCAUCGAAUCUUUGAACGCAAAUUGCGCUUUCUGGAUAUCCAGGGAGCAUGCCUGUCUGAGCGUCGUUUAAAAAUCUACACACCUCGGUGUGGGUAGGGAGGUUCUUCAGGUAACUCUAGGGAUACCUGUCUCUCGAUGUGUCUGAACCUUGCUCGUAUGUUGCUCACGUACUUGCAUGGAAGGCUCAACUUGCUUCUGUCCUUCUAAUGCUCUGUACUGCGGCGUACCUCAGGGUGCACUCUGGGGCCCUCGCGGCCCUAGACUUUCUUUUUUGACCUCAGAUCAGACAAGACUACCCGCUGAAUUUAAGCAUAUCAAUAAGCGGAGGAA